rnacentral:rRNA from 1 species
AUUGAACGCUGGCGGCAUGCCUUACACAUGCAAGUCGAACGGCAGCACGGGUGCUUGCACCUGGUGGCGAGUGGCGAACGGGUGAGUAAUACAUCGGAACAUGUCCUGUAGUGGGGGAUAGCCCGGCGAAAGCCGGAUUAAUACCGCAUACGAUCUACGGAUGAAAGCGGGGGACCUUCGGGCCUCGCGCUAUCGGGUUGGCCGAUGGCUGAUUAGCUAGUUGGUGGGGUAAAGGCCAACCAAGGCGACGAUCAGUAGCUGGUCUGAGAGGACGACCAGCCACACUGGGACUGAGACACGGCCCAGACUCCUACGGGAGGCAGCAGUGGGGAAUUUUGGACAAUGGGCGAAAGCCUGAUCCAGCAAUGCCGCGUGUGUGAAGAAGGCCUUCGGGUUGUAAAGCACUUUUGUCCGGAAAGAAAUCCUUGGCCCUAAUACGGUCGGGGGAUGACGGUACCGGAAGAAUAAGCACCGGCUAACUACGUG